UACAGAGGUCUCAAGCGUUGUUCGGAUUCAUUGGGCGUAAAGGGUGCGUAGGUGGCGGGGUAAGUCAGGUGUGAAAUCUCGGGGCUCAACCCCGAAACUGCACUUGAUACUGCCUUGCUCGAGUACUGGAGAGGAGAUUGGAAUCUACGGUGUAGCAGUGAAAUGCGUAGAUAUCGUAAGGAAGACCAGUGGCGAAGGCGAAUCUCUGGACAGUUACUGACACUGAGGCACGAAGGCCAGAGGAGCAAACGGG
rnacentral:rRNA from 1 species